rnacentral:rRNA from 1 species
CAGCCGCCACGGUAAUACGAAGGGUGCAAGCGUUAAUCGGAAUUACUGGGCGUAAAGCGUGCGUAGGCGGUGAGUUAAGUCUGCUGUGAAAUCCCCGGGCUCAACCUGGGAAUGGCAGUGGAUACUGGCUCGCUAGAGUGUGUCAGAGGAUGGUGGAAUUCCCGGUGUAGCGGUGAAAUGCGUAGAGAUCGGGAGGAACAUCAGUGGCGAAGGCGGCCAUCUGGGACAACACUGACGCUGAGGCACGAAAGCGUGGGGAGCAAACAGGAUUAGAGACCCGUGUAGUCCCUGUCUCUUAUAC